AACGCACUUUGCACUAAUUGAAAGAUUAGUAUGUUUGUUUGAGUAAUCUUUAAACACACCUCAGAAACCUGUUUUUGAGAAUUUGGGCUUAACAGUGAUAUAGGGCAACCUUGAUUACUGUAGACCUGUAAUACUAGUAAGGGUGUAUUUCCAGGUAUUAGAGGGCCUGCCCCAUGAUACCUUGCUAUAUACUUUAGAACCAAAGCAGGCAAUUUUGACUGGCUGAUUGUAAUGCAUUGCGCUUUUUGUUGCUGUUGUGCUAUUGAAUGCCCCGGGCUCUGCUCAAGGUAUUUGGUAUGUUGAUGGCAGUAGAAGGCAGAGAUGCACUAUGAAAGGAAGGAAAAGAUAGCUAGCAAGUAGUCUAGAACCUUUUGAUUACUCAAAUUAAGCAAGGCGACCCGCUGAAUUUAA
rnacentral:misc_RNA from 1 species